CCUCUUGGGCUGGGCAUGAAGCAAUCUUCACUGCUGAUGUUGACACCAGGUCAAACCCCCAGACCUUCUCCUGGGGCCUGGCUCCUUGAACUUCCGCGCUCUGACCCUUCCAUCAAGAAACUGACCAACUGGCUGGGGGUUCCACAGUAGCAAGAACUGUGCAUGGCCUUAGCCAACAGGAAGAGGAGCAGGACAGAGUCCCGGAGCUGGCCUGAGUGGGAAGUGCCUCUGAUUCACCUGUGCUCUGCUGGGAAGCUGCCUUACUCAUUGGCUCAUUCACGCUGCAGGCAUCUUCUGCCAUCUCCCCCGUCCUGGCUUCUCCUAUCGGGAAACUCUGGGCCUGUUCUGCUCGCCACCCCCUGUCAGGAGCACCGCCCUCCUCCAAGCCCUCUGGGCUUCGUUGUGGGUCGCUGGAGGUGAGUCUUCCCUCUCGAAUCCACAGCAGAGAUGCCCAACCCUAUGACAUCCAUUGACCUCAUCUGCCCAUUCAUGCAUGCAUUGAUAUGUUCAUUCAGCAAAUAUUUAUUGAAUUUCUGUUGUGGGCUGGGCUCUGAGGAUACGAUUGAGCAUAAAUUCCAUCAGAGCUUCCACUGUCGUGGAACCUACAUCCUAGCAGGCUAGUGUAUGGAGGCUAAAGCAAGGAGAAAAAAAUAAUUGCAACUCUUAAAAGGUGUGUAGAGGUAAAGAACAUGGAUAUAUCAAGUGGUUUUGGAGCUGACUCGUAACAGCUCAUGAGAGAUGAUUGUCAAAAAUUUGGGAAUUUUGAAUAGCCAACACAUGGAAGCAACCUAAAUGUCCAUCAACAGAUGACUGAAUAAAGAAAUUGCGGCAUAUUUAUAUAAUGGAAUACUACUCAGCCAUAAAAAAAGAACAAAAUAAUGCCAUUUACAGCAACAUGAGUGGACCUGGAGAUCGUCAUUCUAAGUGAAGUAAGCCAGAAAGAGAAAGAAAAAAGAAGACACUAUUGAACUCAUCUACAAAACAGAAACAGAUUCUCAGACAUAGUAAACAAUCUUAUGGUUAACUGGGGGAAAGUGGGUGGGAAGGGAUAAAUUUGGUAGUUUGGGGUUUGCAAAUAUUAACUACUAUAUAUAAAAAUAGAUAAAAACCAAAUUUCUUCUGUAGAGCACAGGGAACUAUAUUCAAUAUCUUAUAGUAACUUUUAAUGAAAAAGAAUAUGAAAACGAAUAUAUGUAUGUAUGUGUAUUACUGGGACAUUAUGCUGUACACCAGAGAUUGACACAUUGUAACUGACUACCUUUAAAAAAUUGGGAGUUUUUUUUAUAGAUAAACAACAAGGACCUAUUGUAUAGCACAGGGAACUAUAUGCAAUGUCUUGUAAUGAGCUG